rnacentral:rRNA from 1 species
GUCGACCUACGGGGGGCAGCAGUGGGGAAUAUUGCACAAUGGGGGAAACCCUGAUGCAGCGACGCCGCGUGAAGGAUGAAGUAUUUCGGUAUGUAAACUUCUAUCAGCAGGGAAGAAAAUGACGGUACCUGACUAAGAAGCCCCGGCUAACUACGUGACAGCAGCCGCGGUAAUACGUAGGGGGCAAGCGUUAUCCGGAUUUACUGGGUGUAAAGGGAGCGUAGACGGCAUGGCAAGUCUGAUGUGAAAACCAGGGGCUCAGCACCGGGACUGCAUAGGAAAAUGUCAGGCUAGAGUGUCGGAGG